rnacentral:tRNA from 1 species
GGUAAAAUGGCUGAUAAGAGCAUUAGACUGUAAAUCUAAGUAUGAAGGUCUAGACCCUUCUUUUACCA